rnacentral:rRNA from 1 species
UUCGGGAGCUUGCACAGGUGCUGCAUGGCUGUCGUCAGCUCGUGUCGUGAGAUGUUCGGUUAAGUCCGCUAACGAGCGCAACCCUCGCUGUGUGUUAUAUGUGUCACACGGGACUGCCGGUCUUAAGCCGGAGGAAGGUGGGGAUGAUGUCAAGUCAGCAUGGCCUUUAUAUCCUGGGCUACACACACGCUACAAUGGCCAACACAAUAGGUUGCUAAGCCGCGAGGUGGCGCCAAUCCAUAAAGUUGGUCUCAGUUCAGAUUGUAGGCUGCAACCCGCCUGCAUGAAGAUGGAGUUGCUAGUAACCGCAGGUCAGCUAUACUGCGGUGAAUACGUUCCCGGGGCUU